UUUUAAUUUUAACCCACAAUUUUACGUAUAAUUCUACUUUAAAAAAUAAAAUUCUAAAUAACCAUAAAAAUAUUCACUACUAUUUAUAUCCACCAAACAGUCUAUCAUGGACCACAUUUUCAUAAUUGAUUUUUUUUUUUUGUUUAUAAAAUUAUUAAAUUGUUAUUUGAUUUUGAAAUUUUCCACUUUCGUUUCAGAAAUCUAAAUUAUUGUUUAUUAUUAUUAUUAUUAUUAUUAUUAGUGAUGAAGAAACAAUAAGGUUAAAAUUUCCGUCCUUUUUCUAGAGUGUUGAUGAAAAUUGUUAAAAGCUUCUAACUAAUUCUCCCACAUCAGUGUUCUUUUGGUGAAGGGAAAUCUCUCACCUCUCAAACGAGUAGCGGUGAGAAGACAAACCAAUAGGGUAUUAACAAGCCAACAGAGGCCACAAGUUCAUCUCCCCUUCUUCCUCGCAUUAUGCAUCCGCAGAUAACCGUAUGCUUCGUUCUCAACGGUCUUGCCUCAAGGCCUAUAAAAGCCUCUCUUUGCUUCUCUUCUCAACACACAACAAAUUCUUCUUCUCCCAUACUUCUCUUUCUCUGCCUUAUCUUUUCUUCUCUCCAAAUUUAUCAACUUUCAAUUUUACAAAUUUCAAAUUCACUGUAAGAAAUCAUCCGGAGAUAUGGCAUCAUGAGUUAGGCCCUCACCCGAUGCACAAUUUGUGGUUUAGUGUCAAGAGAGGCAAAAUUUCCAACGUUUUACUUAAAGCGUCGAGAAUUCCUCAAUAUAUCCCGACGCUUUAAGUAAAGCGUCAAGAGUUAGGCUUUAAAAGAUCCCCCCCUUCAUAGAUCUGCGAAGAAGGGGAAAGGAUGGGUAGAAACGGAGUGCGUGAGGGUUGCUCCUCCGCUGUCAAGGUCGGCACCACCGUCGUUGUUAGUGUCGGUGCAUCAUCGUCAUCAGUGGUCGCUAUGUCCGCCACCGCCACUCCCUCCAUCUUCGUCUCUGUCACGACCUCUUAGUUGGAGAUAAUUCAAAGUUUAAAACCCUAAAUAUAAACUCCUUUGAAUUUGUUCUUAAUUUCUUUUUCUACCAGUGAGUUUCUUUUUUUGUUCUUACCUCUCCCAAUAUUUCUUCUUGAUUUCUGUUUUUGUUAUAUUUAAAAGUUUGGAAUGGGUUGUGAUCGCUCCUCAUGUUCUUGGCAACGAUGGUGAGUUUAAUUUUGAUCGCUCUUCUAGGUUUGAAUUUUUUAGGUUGGUUAGCGGAGUUUUUGAGUUUUGUUGAAUGUUUUAGUGAGAUUGAUGUGGGGUUUUGGUGAGGCUUUUUACUCUCGUUUUUUUUACUUUGCCCACUCUCGUUUUUUUUACUUUGCCCUUUCCUAUAAAGAUUUGUGGAAUAUUUGAUGCAAUGUUGUAGGCAGAACUUUGUUUAAGGUUAUUUGAUGCUAUGUGAAUGAUAAACAAUGAUUGAAGGUUUGUGCCACAAAUUAACGUAGGGAGUAUAUUUUUUUAAAAAAUAUGUUAUCCUAUGAAGAUUUGUAGAAAUCUAGAAUUAUGGAUUGAUAAGCAAAAGAGUUUUUUUUUUUUUUUUAAUACAAGCAUCUCUACUAGUUCUAUCUAUUUGAAUUUAGAACUAGGGAUUGCUUUUAUUUAUUGGUUUUAUUUGCUUAUGUCCAUUGCCUUCUAGCUAGUUCAUGAGUGAGUUAAUGCUUAAAGUAUGGUUUUGGUUAGAAAUAUGGGUUGUUGGUUCAUCUCUAAAGGAUUCAUUUCCUCGAUUGUUUAAUAUUGUAUCUCUUCCUAGUGGUUCAACUUUUGAAGGUUGGGAUGGUAUUUCAUGCUCUUAGAAUAUGUUCAUUAAAAGCGUACUUAAAGAUCUACGUACAUUUGGGGAAUUUUACGAUCCUUGUGGAGGUCACUUUAGCAUAAAAGAUACAAUCCUUUUAGUAAUCAAUUUAAUAGUAAAUGACAUUUGAAUGUCGGAUUGUUUGAAUUUCUAAGCCUGUUAUAUUGUGGUGUUUUCAAUCGUAGAUUUUCUUUUAAUUCUUACUAGGUAUUUUUAUUCAUAUUCUUUAUUGGGUAUGGAGUAAAUUGUUCUGAAGGUUUUGUUUAAAAUUCCUUUUGCAAAUUUCUGACGUCUAGUCUCAUUAUCACUCAACAUAUUGCAAAAGCUAGGUGUUGCUAGUAGAAGCAUGUAUACAAUCUUUGGUUCUAGAUGCUUCAACAGGUUAAAAGAAGUAGCAUUCGAGUUAAUUUUAGAAGAAGCUGCAAAAGAGGAAGAAGAUGAUGAAAUGGAUGGUUACCGAAAUAAUGAAGAUGAUGACAAUGGAGAUGGUUUCGAUAAGGAAAUGGAUGGCUACCCAAUCUGUAUUGUCAAUAUACCUUCCGUUUAAUAAUAGAAGGUAUUUUUUUAUAAAAAAUACAGGAUCUCCCUACGCUUCCUUUUGUGCGUCGGGAGAUCCUCUCCCAACUCAUUUCGCCUAACUUUCAUCCCAACAGGCAUUUAUGUGUCAGGAGAUCCUUUCCCGACGAUUUUGCAUAUAUCACCCAACGAUUUUGUGCAUCGAGAGAUCCCCUUUUCGGUGUAGUGAUUUAACGGUCUAGUUAUUAUUAUUCCUUCCUUCCAUUGAAGGUAGAAGGUUUUAGCAACAACAAUUUUAAGAUGUUCAAUCUGCUAUGAUGGUAUCAACAUUAUAUGAAAUUAUGUCCUCUGAAUUCAACUAUUCAUUCA